UGUGGCAGCUGUAUAGAAAGAAGAGAUGAAAGGUUUCUAAUAUGGGUGGCUUGAGAUGAAAGGGUUAGGUUUUUUAUUUCUGAUAUGGCAGCAGCUGUACUGAUUUUUAUUUUUUAUUUUUAAAAACGAGUUGGGCUUAAAAUUAGGUUAAAAUUAGGUUUAAAAUGGGUGGGCCAGAACCCGGGUCAAAAUAAACCUAAAAUUGCAUCAGACCUUUCAAACGGCCGCUUCUUCUUCCUCAACUAAAAAACGCGCAGCGAUUCUGCGAUUCAACGCUCCACCUCGUCGCUCCACCACGCGCCGCCACUGAUACGCUUUUUUGCCCGUUUCAACACGGUUUCCACCAUGAAAAGCGUUGAAUCGUGCGAUUCAACGCUUUGGAGCACGCUUUUGAUAACAUUGCUAUAGAUAGCCUUUUUUGUGGCACAACUCUCAAUGAAAGCACUAAUUGUUAGGACUUACGUAUAUGAGGAGAGUUCAACCUAAAAGACUAGUCCAUUAGGUGGGAGAAACUCAUAAAAGCACCACAUUAAGUUUGCUAUGUUAUCCAAUGUGAGACUCCUAAAAACUACCUAUACAGGCUGUUCUUCAAGCUUUGAAGCUUUUUUAGUGUACACUCCCCCAAAAAUAUUUAGCUAUCAAUAAUACAUGAAAGUAUAUGCAAUUAAAAACAACUCAUUACCCUGUGUGUAUCUGCACUGGCAAGUCAUAGGAUUGUGCAAUUUCCAAAGUUUGCAAGAAGAUAUAGUCAACAAAAUCUUUUUUUGCUACACAGACAGGCUUCCCAGCUGAAACUAACACUUGUGUGAGAGCCUCCUCAGCAUCCUUUUUAGUCACAUUUGUAUUGAUUUCUAGGCCACUGUAGUAUGCAGCUAUGCUUUUAAAUCCGUAUAUUUCACCAGCAAGAGAUAUGAUUUCAACUUGGAGAUAAAUACUUCAAUAAAUGAAUCCAGUGUCCAAGAAGAUCCAUCUAAC